CGGCCUGAGGUCGGACGAGGCUACCCGCUGAAUUUAAGCAUAUUACUAAGCGGAGGAAAAUAAACUAACGAGGAUUCCCUCAGUAACGGCGAGUGAAGCGGGACGAGCCCAGCGCCGAAUCCGGCCGCUUAUGGAGCGGACGGAAUUGUGGCGUAUGGAAUUCGCUUCGAGCGCGGACCGGCUGCCCACGUCCUUCUGAUCGAGGCUUCAUCCCAUAGCGGGUGUCAGGCCCUUGGCGGCGGCUGGCCCGGGCUCUCGGUGUCUUCCCGGAGUCGGGUUGUUUGGGAAUGCAGCCCAAGCGGGUGGUAAACUCCAUCUA
rnacentral:ncRNA from 1 species